AUACGGAGGGUGCAAGCGUUACUCGGAAUCACUGGGCGUAAAGGACGCGUAGGCUGGUUUGCAAGUCAGGGGUGAAAGCCUACAGCUUAACUGUAGAACUGCUCUUGAAACUGCUUACCUAGAGUAUGGGAGAGGUGAAAGGAAUUAGUGGUGUAGGGGUAAAAUCCGUAGAGAUCACUAGGAAUACCGAUUGCGAAGGCGUUUCACUGGAACAUUACUGACGCUGAGGCGUGAAAGCGUGGGGAGCAAACAGGAUUAGAAACCCUAGUAGUCC
rnacentral:rRNA from 1 species